rnacentral:misc_RNA from 1 species
GAUGAAGAACGUAGCGAAAUGCGAUAAGUAGUGUGAAUUGCAGAAUUCAGUGAAUCAUCGAAUCUUUGAACGCUCAUUGCGUCCUUUGGUAUUCCAAAGGGCAUGCCUGUUCGAGCGUCAUUUGUACCCUCAAGCUUUGCUUGGUGUUGGGCGUCUUGUCUCUAGCUUUGCUGGAGACUCGCCUUAAAGUAAUUGGCAGCCGGCCUACUGGUUUCGGAGCGCAGCACAAGUCGCACUCUCUAUCAGCAAAGGUCUAGCAUCCAUUAAGCCUUUUUUUCAACUUUUGACCUCGGAUCAGGUAGGGAUACCCGCUGAACUUAAGCAUAUCAAUAAGCGGAGGA